rfam:Oryza glaberrima chromosome 12 Oglab12_0027_8, whole genome shotgun sequence.
CAAAAGUUAGUUUUCGUGCCUAAUAUUUGACCGUCCGUCUUAUUUACAAAAUUAUGAAAAAAAUUAAAAAGACAAAUCACGCAUAAAAUAUUAAUCAUGUUUUAUCAUCUAAUAACAAUAAAAAUACAAAUUAUAAAAAAAUUCAUAUAAAACGGACAGUUAAAAUUGGAUACAGAAAUCAAGGGUUUGAUUUUUU